UGGUGAUUCCGAGACCCUCGCGCCCCGGCAUUUCCGGGUUCCCACUUCCGGUGAGUUUUAGAGCGGCGCUGGUGACGCGUGCAUUGUGGCGAAUUGGCGCCAGAGAUCGCGUAAAGCGAUCGCAACAUUUAGCCGGUGGCUGAAUGAUGAGUAUGUAUGUCGAGCCGCGGUGCCUGUGAGUAAUUAUACAACUUCGGGUCUGGUGUUUGUUCAACCCAAUGGAGCCAGUGAGUCUUGGUGGGAUGGGGAGGCUACCUGCAUUUAUUCGGUGGCGUGCUUCAGUGUGCCAACACAACUUCCUUAUGGUGCAAGUAGUGUGAUUUUUGGUGUGACUUGCAGUGGGUUUGGAUGAUGAGUUGUCCCUGCCAAGCCUGGGCCUCGAAAAGUCCUUAGUUUUAAAACCCUCAUUGUGCUCCAUGGGAAAGUGAUUUUAUAUUUUCAUGGCAAGUUUUAAAUGAUGCUGAAGUGUCAUAAUAAAUUUAUUUGUGCCCAUGUCCCACUCAUGUUCCUUGCCCUGAUUGGUGAAACAUGUGUGCCUUUUGUUUGGGAGUAUUUCCCUAGUUCUCCCCCAGGGUGCUGUAGUUGGAUUUACUGAAUUUGGGAUAAAUGUCUCCAUCCAGUUGGGAAUAUUGCCACAUUCUGGUGCAGUCAGCCAGCUAGACAUUUUACCUCCACUCGAGGGAAUAUUGCCACACAGGUAUAAACCAGGAAAGGCAAGAAUCCAAAAACAAGAUCAAACAUGAGGAACGAGACAAUAAAAACUGUGCAUAUUACUUGGCCAAGACAUAGUGAAUGAGCAGACUCUUUUAUAGUGCAGUGUGAUUGGGAACAGGUAUGUCUGACUAGUGUUUUGGAGAAGGUGAAUGUGUGGGAAGUGUAGUCCAUGGUGGCCAUGUUUCUAGGCUGCAGUGCAGGAUGGGAAGUGUAGUGACUGGUUUGCUGUGACAUGAC
ensembl:lncRNA